CUUGACUUUAUAGAAGUGUUGCAGGUAUGUCUGGUGUGUCACGUACAUGUUUGUAGGUGACAGAUGGGAGAAAGGCUAUAUCAAUGCUCAGUGUUCUGACCUAUGAACAUCUACAUAAUUAGUAGCUUAACACU
ensembl:snoRNA Gm23033 predicted gene, 23033